rnacentral:rRNA from 1 species
GACGGAGGAUGCAAGUGUUAUCCGGAAUCACUGGGCGUAAAGCGUCUGUAGGUGGUUCGAAAAGUCCACUGUUAAAAAUUGAGGCUUAACUUCAAAGAUGCCGUGGAAACUUUCAAACUAGAGUAUGGUAGGGGUAGAGGGAAUUUCCAGUGGAGCGGUGAAAUGCGUAGAUAUUGGAAAGACCACCGAUGGCGAAGGCAGGUCUCUGGGCCACUACUGACGCUGAGAAGCGAAAGCAUGGGGAGCAAACAGG